ACGAAAGAAAGAGAGAGAGAGAAAGAGAGUGAGAAAGAGAGAAAGAGAAAGAGAGAGAAAGAGAGAAAGAGAGUGAGAAAGAAAGAAAGAGAGAGAGAGAGAGAGGAAGAAAGAAAGAAAACCGUUCGAAAAACGCACAUGUUGCUUUUCAUUUGGAAUUACCACGCAAACAAAGCAAUCGUUUUUUUCUCUUCCGUUUAGCGACAAACGACAUAUUGAUUUCAUGAGCUUAAUUUUUAUUCUAUUCUAUAUAUAUUCUAUUUUUCAUAUUUACGUACCUUAAAAAUGUGAUAUGACGCAUGUGAUUUAACAACAAACAUCAUAAAUUACGAACAGACAAGUAUAAAGAAAAACAGACCAAUUCUUGGCAAUCGAUGUCGAGGAGCAGGAAGAGUCAGUCGAAUACGAGAUUCGGAUCAACAUGGACAGAAAUCUGAAGACAGCUGCACGAUACUAUGUUUUUUGAAUCUCUUAAUAGUUUUCUAUUCUCUUAUAUUUUUCAAAAGUUAUGAAAUUAAAUGUUAAGAUAUCUAUAUAAAAAAUUAUUGAAAAAAAUCUACUUGUGAAUUUCCAUAUAAGAAGAAAGCAAGUAUUUCAUUUUCUGAAAAAGAAAAUUAGUUUUCUUUGAUUUCCUUGGUUGAAGAGAGUCAAAGAUCUUAGUCGAUGGAAAAUCCUAAAAGAAGUUGCAUUGCUGAUCCAAAAAGUGAUAGCUAAAAAUGCUAAAAGAUGAUUUUAAAAGUACUGCACAAGAAUCAAAUGGUAACAAAGUAUUACAUAUUUCUAAAGAAUAUGUUCACAAUAUUAGAAGUUUUAGUAUGGCAGCGUUUUCCAAUUUCUGUUGAUCUAGUCAAUGUUCAAAAAUAAUAGUUUUUAGUAACAUAAGUACAAAGAAUUAUAAGGUUUUAUCAUUAUCAAUUAUUAUGUCACAUUAAUUCAUUGGCAACACAAUUUAGAGGAUAAUCAGAAGCGUUAGAAACGGAUGUAACCUGAGCAAAUUUCAUCUUUUUAUUGUGAGAUCUUGAUAAUGAAUCUUCAAUAAUAACUACAACAACAACGUCAACAAUUUAGUUCAUAGAGUAACUAAUAUUUACAUCUUUUAGUUCCUGUACCAUUUCUUAAGCUAAUCUAUGCAUAAUAUCUAGUCGGUAUGUACUUUUUUUUUGUAAGGCUACUAUCUUCGUUGUUAUCACGAUCGUUAUCACCAUUACAAGUUUGAUGUCGCCAAAAAUCAGAUAAAUAGGUGAUACUGUUAUCGUAUAUUUUGUCUAUGAUUUUAUAGACAGACAGACAAUUACAAUCUUUUUUUUAUUAUAAUUAUUACUAUUAUUUAAAAUGAUAUCACAAGGGUUUAGAUCGAAGACGUACAAAUUUGAUUCAUUGAAUUAUUUCAGACGAAAAAAGUAAUGUGUACAUCUCUGAUCUAGAUAGAUUGAUAUAUAAAAAGUCAUUAGUUAUGUGAUUGCAAAGAUAUAUAAUUAUUAGUUUGUUACAUAUAUACAUAGAGUCAGUUAUUUUUCUUCUUCUCUUUUUCUAUGAAAAUAUCUAACUAAUCCCAUAAACUAACUUCCUGAACAUUAGAUUUCAACUUUAUAAUUUUGGUAUAAAGAAAUAUAGUAAUAUCAUAUAUAUUACUAAUGAUAACAAAUUAUUAUAUCAUAUGUAAUAUAUACAUAUAUUUUUAUUUUUUAAAAUAUAUAUAUAU